AAGAUAAUUCUCUAUAUUUGCCUUUAACUUUCCAACAAUACAAAUGGGAGUAGACUAUGAACUCAAAAGCAACAUGACCAAGAACACACCACCUAGUGGUUUGGGUGCACCACCACCUAGUCAUAUGUCUAGACCUCCACCUAGACCAUAAACUAGGGGAAAGUCUAUGCCACCACCAUAUCAUCCAUUGAUGAAUCCUAGACCACUUUCUUUCUUAUUUUCCAUAUAACUUUAAGUUAUAUUUGGCUCCCGAAAAUUAAGAAAUAAGAAAAAAAAUAUUUUUUAAGGUUUGAUUUUACUAUAAAAAAAA
rnacentral:lncRNA from 1 species